rnacentral:rRNA from 1 species
GAUGAACGCUGGCGGCGUGCUUAACACAUGCAAGUCGAACGAUGAAGCCCAGCUUGCGGGGUGGGUUAGUGGCGAACGGGGGAGUAACACGCGAGUAACCUGCCCUUGUCUCUGGGGUAAGCCUUGGAAACUGGGGCUAAUACUGGAUAUGACUUCUCAUCGCAUGGGGGGGGGGGGGGAGAUUUUUUGGUCUUGGAUGGACUCGCGGCUUAUCAGCUUGUUGGUGGGGUAGUGGCUCACCAAGGCGACGACGGGUAGCCGGCCUGAGAGGGUGACCGGCCACACUGGGACUGAGACACGGCCCAGACUCCUACGGGAGGCAGCAGUGGGGAAUAUUGCACAAUGGGCGCAAGCCUGAUGCAGCGACGCCGCGUGAGGGAUGACGGCCUUCGGGUUGUAAACCGCUUUCGGUAGGGACGAAGCGAGAGCGACGGUACCUGCAGAAGAAGCGCCGGCUAACUACGUG